UACGUAGGGUGCAAGCGUUUGUCCGGAAUUAUUGGGCGUAAAGAGCUCGUAGGCGGUUUGUCGCGUCUGCUGUGAAAACGCGAGGCUCAACCUCGCGCCUGCAGUGGGUACGGGCAGGCUAGAGUGCGGUAGGGGAGAUUGGAAUUCCUGGUGUAGCGGUGGAAUGCGCAGAUAUCAGGAGGAACACCGAUGGCGAAGGCAGAUCUCUGGGCCGUAACUGACGCUGAGGAGCGAAAGCGUGGGGAGCGAACAGG
rnacentral:rRNA from 1 species